rnacentral:rRNA from 1 species
CCUACGGGGGGCUGCAGUGGGGAAUAUUAGACAAUGGGGGCAACCCUGAUCCAGCCAUGCCGCGUGUGUGAAGAAGGCCCUCGGGUUGUAAAGCACUUUCAGUGAGGAAGAACGCCUGGUGGUUAAUACCCAUCAGGAAAGACAUCACUCACAGAAGAAGCACCGGCUAACUCCGUGCCAGCAGCCGCGGUAAUACGGAGGGUGCGAGCGUUAAUCGGAAUUACUGGGCGUAAAGCGCGCGUAGGUGGCUUGAUAAGCCGGUUGUGAAAGCCCCGGGCUCAACCUGGGAACGGCAUCCGGAACUGUCAAGCUAGAGUGCAGGAGAGGAAGGUAGAAUUCCCGGUGUAGCGGUGAAAUGCGUAGAGAUCGGGAGGAAUACCAGUGGCGAAGGCGGCCUUCUGGACUGACACUGACACUGAGGUGCGAAAGCGUGGGUAGCAAACAGGAUUAGAUACCCGGGUAGUC